rnacentral:piRNA from 1 species
UAUCUCACUGACUGCCUGAGGGCACCAUAAAA